AGUGUGAGACCUCGGGCUACAACAUAGGACCCGGGCGCUGCUCUGACCCCUCGUGUCUUGUGUUGCAGCCGGAGGGACGCA
rfam:Pongo abelii chromosome 18.